UACGGAGGGUGCGAGCGUUGUCCGGAAUCACUGGGCGUAAAGGGCGCGUAGGUGGCGUCGCAAGUCAACGGUGAAAGCUCGACGCUCAACGUCGAGUCGGCCGUCGAGACUGCGAGGCUUGAGCACUGUAGAGGCGGGUGGAAUUCCGGGUGUAGCGGUGGAAUGCGUAGAGAUCCGGAAGAACACCGGUGGCGAAGGCGGCCCGCUGGGCAGAGACUGACGCUGAGGCGCGACAGCGUGGGGAGCAAACAGG
rnacentral:rRNA from 1 species